CACCAGCCAAUCAGGAGUGAGUAUGCAAAUUAACCCAACAAAGCUGGCAGGUUACUUUGCAUGCACAGGCAUUGAGCAGUUGGGGGCAGGCUUUCCUCAC